rfam:Serratia sp. Leaf50 contig_8, whole genome shotgun sequence.
GGGCGCAGUGGCAGCCGUAAGCCAGGGGCGGUAGCAUA